CAUUCGGGGACAACUCGGAGGAAGGUGGGGAUGACGUCAAAUCAUCAUGCCCCUUAUGAUUUGGGCUACACACGUGCUACAAUGGCGGUGACAGAGGGAAGCAAAGUGGUGACAUGGAGCAAACCCCAAAAAAGCCGUCCCAGUUCGGAUUGUAGUCUGCAACUCGACUACAUGAAGUUGGAAUCGCUAGUAAUCGCGAAUCAGAAUGUCGCGGUGAAUACGUUCCCGGGCCUUGUACACACCGCCCGUCACACCAUGGGAGUUGGAAGCGCAACCCUUGUCUUUAGUUGCCAGCAGGUAAUGCUGGGCACUCUAGAGAGACUGCCGGUGACAAACCGGAGGAAGGUGGGGAUGACGUCAAAUCAUCAUGCCCCUUAUGUUCUGGGCUACACACGUGCUACAAUGGCUGGUACAACGGGCGGCUAANNAGUAAUCUGGAGCUAAUCCCAAAAAGCCAGUCCCAGUUCGG
rnacentral:rRNA from 1 species